rnacentral:rRNA from 1 species
GCUUACGGCCAUAUCAGCCUGGGUACGCCCUCUCUGAUCUCGGAAGCUAAGCAGGGUCGGGCCUGGUUACUACUUGGAUGGGAGACCGCCUGGGAAUACCAGGUGCUGUAAGCA